UCAAACUUGGUCAUUUAGAGGAAGUAAAAGUCGUAACAAGGUUUCCGUAGGUGAACCUGCGGAAGGAUCAUCACUGAUUCAGGGGGAGGGGGUGGUCUGUGCGCCGCCUGCGAACUUGUUUGCAGCGAACCGUGCGCCACCACCUCACCCCAAACCAAUCUUGUGUGCACCGUUUCUCUCACUGGUCAAGGAAUGACGCGUGUGGCUGCGUGUAUUGUUGGUGAGGAGGCAUGUGUGCGUGUGCGCCCUGCUGUGCACGCGCGCGCUGCUCUCACCGACUGCACGCACCCUGUCGUUGUUCUAAAUUUGUACACAAUCUCAAUGCAACUUUGUCUAACGCGUUACCUAAAAUAACACAUACAACUUUUAACAAUGGAUCUCUUGGCUCUCGCAUCGAUGAAGAACGCAGC
rnacentral:misc_RNA from 1 species